rnacentral:rRNA from 1 species
AAGGCUUGACAUCCCUCUGACCGGUCUAGAGAUAGGCCUUUCCCUUCGGGGACAGAGGUGACAGGUGGUGCAUGGUUGUCGUCAGCUCGUGUCGUGAGAUGUUGGGUUAAGUCCCGCAACGAGCGCAACCCUUAUCUUUAGUUGCCAGCAUUCAGUUGGGCACUCUAGAGAGACUGCCGGUGACAAACCGGAGGAAGGUGGGGAUGACGUCAAAUCAUCAUGCCCCUUAUGUCUUGGGCUACACACGUGCUACAAUGGUUGGUACAAAGGGCUGCGAGCCAGCGAUGGUAAGCCAAUCCCAUAAAGCCAAUCUCAGUUCGGAUUGUAGGCUGCAACUCGCCUACAUGAAGCAGGAAUCGCUAGUAAUCGCAGAUCAGCAUGCUGCGGUGAAUACGUUCCCGGGUC